UUAAAUAAAAUUAUUUUUUUUAUAUAAAAAAAGUAUUUUUUAGUUUUAUUAGUUUUUUGAAGUAAUUAUAAUAAUUAUAGUUAAUUAGUAUAGUGAUAGAAUUUUUUUAUAAAUUUAAAAGAAAAAUUAAUUGUUUGUACCUUGUGUAUCAGGGCUUAUUAAUUAAGUUUUAAUUAAAGUAAAUUUCUCGAUUUUAAAAGAGUUAAUUAUUUAUAGAUUUUAUUGUAGAAUAAAUAUUUAAAAUAAAUAAUUGGUAGUGAAACAUUAGUCGAUUUUAAAUAUAUCUAGUUUUUAAAGAAAAAAAUUCAAUUUUAUUAAGUUAAAUUAGUUAUUAAUUUUAUUAAAAAUAAUAAUUUUUAAUUUGUUUAUAUUAUAAGGGAUAAGCUUUAUAGUAGAUUAUUAAAAAUUUUUAUUAUUUAAUUAAAAUUAUAGGAUUAGAACUUUCCAUUAUUUAAUUUGUUAAAAUUAAUUUAAUAAAUAUAAAGAUUUAUAUGUAAAUAAUUUUAAUUAAUUUAUUUAAAUAUUAGAUUUAAUAUAGAUAUUUAAGUAAUAAUGAUAAAAUUAGUAAAAUUUUUUGUAUAAUAUAUAUCUAUAUUAUUUAGGUUUUUAAAAGGAAUUCGGCAAAUGUAUUUUUCGCCUGUUUAUUAAAAACAUGUCUUUUUGUAUAAAAUUUAAAGUCUGACCUGCCCACUGAUAAAAUUGAAUGGCCGCAGUAUAUUGACUGUGCAAAGGUAGCAUAAUCAUUAGUUUCUUAAUUAGAAGCUGGUAUGAAGGGUUGGACGAGAAAAUAACUGUCUCUUAAUAAAUUAUUUUGAAUUUUAUUUUUAAGUUAAAAAGCUUAAAUUUAAUUAAAAGACGAGAAGACCCUAUAGAGUUUUAUAUAACUAUAUUUUAAAUAUUUAUAAAGAAUUAUAUAAUUAUUAUAAUAUUUUAUAUUUUAUUGGGGUGAUUUUAAAAUUUAAUGAACUUAUAAUAAAAAUUAACAUUAAUAUAUGAUUAUGUGAUCCAUAUUAUUAUUAUGAUUAUAAGAUAAAAUUACCUUAGGGAUAACAGCGUUAUUUCUUUAAAGAGUUCAAAUCGAUAAAGAAGAUUGCGACCUCGAUGUUGGAUUAAAAUUAAAUUUUGGUGUAGAAGCUAAAAAAAUUAAGUCUGUUCGACUUUUAAAAUUUUACAUGAUCUGAGUUUAAACCGGUGUAAGCCAGGUUGGUUUCUAUCUUUAAUUUUAAAAAGUGUUUUAGUACGAAAGGACCAGAUAUUAAUAAAAUUUAUUGAAUAUUGAAUAUUA
rnacentral:rRNA from 1 species